rnacentral:lncRNA from 1 species
AGAUAUCUCACACACCACAUUUUUAGGAGGAAAUUCAGAAGGACAGAGACAUCAAAGAUUAUUCAAAUAAUUGAAUAGCUGUCGUAGAUAGCAUCCAGAAAACAUAUAUAUACACCAAGACCAAGGUGUAUUUUUCUCACACAAGUCCUAAUAUAAUAGUUUGUCAACAAGUCAGAUAAUAUGCCUGACUUGCAACCAAACAACUGUUAUUCAAACCCUUCUUGCACGCACUCUUCUAAAAGCAAGAAACGAAUAACAACCAACACGGCGAAAUGUCAGACAAUCCUUCCAUCGCACUCCCAAAUCCAAACCCAAAGCAACAAACACGCGGGCAGCUCAUUUGCACAGGUCGGUCGCAGGCGGGCGCAGGGCGACUCCUCCGAGCUUCUCGCUCGAGUACUUCUUGUAGACGACCUUCAGCUUGCUGUCAGGCGCGGUGG